rnacentral:rRNA from 1 species
GAUGAACGCUGGCGGCGUGCCUAAUACAUGCAAGUCGAGCGAACAGAUGAGGAGCUUGCUCCUCUGACGUUAGCGGCGGACGGGUGAGUAACACGUGGAUAACCUACCUAUAAGACUGGGAUAACUUCGGGAAACCGGAGCUAAUACCGGAUAAUAUAUUGAACCGCAUGGUUCAAUAGUGAAAGACGGUUUUGCUGUCACUUAUAGAUGGAUCCGCGCCGCAUUAGCUAGUUGGUAAGGUAACGGCUUACCAAGGCGACGAUGCGUAGCCGACCUGAGAGGGUGAUCGGCCACACUGGAACUGAGACACGGUCCAGACUCCUACGGGAGGCAGCAGUAGGGAAUCUUCCGCAAUGGGCGAAAGCUUGACGGAGCAACGCCGCGUGAGUGAUGAAGGUCUUCGGAUCGUAAAACUCUGUUAUUAGGGAAGAUCAAAUGUGUAAGUAACUAUGCACGUCUUGACGGUACCUAAUCAGAAAGCCACGGCUAACUACGUG